UAAUUAUGUGUCCAUAAUACGUGUUAUAGGC
rnacentral:piRNA from 1 species